GUGCUUGCUCUGGCAGCACACAUAGUAAAACCGGAACUAUACGGGGAUUAGCACGGCCCUGUGCAAGGAUGGCAUACAAAUUCAUGAAGCUGUCCCUAGUCUU